GGGGAAUUUUGGACAAUGGGCGCAAGCCUGAUCCAGCAAUGCCGCGUGCAGGAUGAAGGCCUUCGGGUUGUAAACUGCUUUUGUACGGAACGAAAAAGCUCUCUCUAAUACAGGGGGUGAAUGACGGUACCGUAAGAAUAAGCACCGGCUAACUACGUGCCAGCAGCCGCGGUAAUACGUAGGGUGCAAGCGUUAAUCGGAAUUACUGGGCGUAAAGCGUGCGCAGGCGGUUUUGUAAGACAGAGGUGAAAUCCCCGGGCGCAACCUGGGAACUGCCUUUGUGACUGCAAAGCUGGAGUGCGGCAGAGGGGGAUGGAAUUCCGCGUGUAGCAGUGAAAUGCGUAGAUAUGCGGAGGAACACCGAUGGCGAAGGCAAUCCCCUGGGCCUGCACUGACGCUCAUGCACGAAAGCGUGGGGAGCAAAC
rnacentral:rRNA from 1 species